ensembl:lncRNA
GGGGUGGAGGGAGAGAGUGGUGGAGGGGGUGGAGGGAGAGAGUGGUGGAGGGAGAGAAUGGUGGAGGGAGAGAGUGGUGGAGGGAGAGAGUGGUGGAGGGGAUGGAGGGAGAGAGUGAUGAGGGGAUAGAGGGAGAGUGGUGGAGGGGUGGAGGGAGAGAUUGAUGGAGGGGGUGGAGGGAGUGAUGGAGGGAGAGAGUGACGGAGGGAGAGAGUGAUGGAGGUAGAGAGUGAUGGAGGUGAUGGAGGGAGAGAGUGGUGGAGGGGUGGAGGGAGAGAGUGAUGGAGGGGUGGAGGGAGAGAGUGGUGGAGGGGUGGAGGGAGAGAGUGAUGGAGGGGUGGA